rnacentral:rRNA from 1 species
UACGUAGGGUGCAAGCGUUAAUCGGAAUUACUGGGCGUAAAGCGUGCGCAGGCGGUUGUGUAAGACAGAUGUGAAAUCCCCGGGCUUAACCUGGGAAUUGCAUUUGUGACUGCACGGCUAGAGUGUGUCAGAGGGGGGUAGAAUUCCACGUGUAGCAGUGAAAUGCGUAGAUAUGUGGAGGAAUACCGAUGGCGAAGGCAGCCCCCUGGGAUAACACUGACGCUCAUGCACGAAAGCGUGGGGAGCAAACAGG